rfam:Cavia porcellus supercont2_9 genomic scaffold, whole genome shotgun sequence.
UGGCACCCAAUGUCGGACACGAGAAUGGGGGACUCUAUGAGGGACACUGUUCGUGGGCCCAAAGUAGAAAAAGGAAAAGAAAAUAGAGGACCUGACAACGUGGGAGCCUGCCACACCGCGCUGAACCUCGGUCAGUGAACAGCGAUUAUGAGACAAGAAAUUAGCCAGCAUGAGAUUUUUGUUGAAAAUUUAGUAAAAGCUUUAAAGGCACAGGGGUGAAGGUGAAUAUUGAGCAAUUAUGCCAAUACUUCGAUUUUAUAAAAGAGGUUUGUCCUU